rnacentral:rRNA from 1 species
AUUGAACGCUGGCGGCAGGCCUAACACAUGCAAGUCGAGCGGAUGAGGGGAGCUUGCUCCUGGCUUCAGCGGCGGACGGGUGAGUAAUGCCUAGGAAUCUGCCUGGUAGUGGGGGAUAACGUCCGGAAACGGGCGCUAAUACCGCAUACGUCCUGAGGGAGAAAGUGGGGGAUCUUCGGACCUCACGCUAUCAGAUGAGCCUAGGUCGGAUUAGCUAGUUGGUGGGGUAACGGCCUACCAAGGCGACGAUCCGUAACUGGUCUGAGAGGAUGAUCAGUCACACUGGAACUGAGACACGGUCCAGACUCCUACGGGAGGCAGCAGUGGGGAAUAUUGGACAAUGGGCGAAAGCCUGAUCCAGCCAUGCCGCGUGUGUGAAGAAGGUCUUCGGAUUGUAAAGCACUUUAAGUUGGGAGGAAGGGCAGUAAGUUAAUACCUUGCUGUUUUGACGUUACCAACAGAAUAAGCACCGGCUAACUUCGUG